rnacentral:tRNA from 1 species
AGUAAAGUCAGCUAACAAAGCUA